GCCCAACUGUGGAAGGAAGGGGGUACAGGCUGAGGCUUAACGGUUGGAGGAGGGGUCGACAGGGGAAAGUGACGUCCAAAAAGAAAGAGGAGAGCACCCCACUCACACAGCAAAAACGUGACGUGCACACAAAGACAAUCUCGUACGAGGCUCACGCACACACAAGGGAUCACCACCACCACCCAGGGGAACCACCACAACCACUGUUGGCCUUCAGCUCUAAGGGAAGAUAAGAGGCACAGUUAAGAGGGCUUGCGCUGCCCCACUUUGACUUGCACGUCUUCGCCUGAGGGUGGCAGUAUUACGACAAGAGUAGAGCGAGUUAAACAAUGUCAACAGAAUCGUCAAUCUGCAGCCGAACUUUAACAGUGCCAAUCGUUUUAAGAGUAAAGAGAACAUAUGCCUGUGAGUAUUGUAUAUGUAUAGUGGUGUAUGUUGCUGUUACUGCUGUUUCUGUAAGUUGACAUUUCUUUUAUACCACCACCAUGCAUCAUGCGACCAGCCGACUAUGCUCUAGUCAGCGGCGGUAAACAACCCCAAAUAAAAUAUCGCCUCGACCACGAUGGAGACAUCGGAUCUGUGCUCUGAGGCGAGUGGUGAACGCAACGACCCGGAAUUAGGCGGGCCGAAGAGGCAGGAAGCGAGCGGUCAGGCCGAUGACCACCAGCCUCAUGUCACAGUUCAACAUGAAGGACCUCGGCUAAAAAAGACGCUUCAUUGAACGGCACAGUACGCUAUUUUGAUCGCUGCUGUCAAAGUGGGACAGCGAGGCCACAGAACAUGACAUUACAGUGCUCCCGGAUGGUAUCGAUACAGUUUUACUGUUUUCUUUGUCUAAUUGAAAUAUAUCAUGUUAAACAUGCUUUAAUUUCCUCAUUAUUUAACAAAAUGGGAUAGAAGACAAGUUAUGACUGAAAAGGAUACCUUUAUUUCUCAGA
rnacentral:lncRNA from 15 species